UAAACAUCUGGAGAUUUUGCAAGAAGAGACAAGUGAUGUCAAUCUGAAAAGGACAGCUAUCCUAAAGGCUCUUUGCAUCUACCUGGGACAUUGAAGGAAAUGACAUCCUGAGAGACCUGCAAAAGCAUACCAUGGGUAUAUAUGUCAUCAACAAGGAGGGUGGAGAAAUGCGACAUUGUGAUGACAU